rnacentral:rRNA from 1 species
AGAGUUUGAUCCUGGCUCAGAACGAACGCUGGCGGCAUGCCUAACACAUGCAAGUCGAACGGGAUCCUGGCUUCGGUCAGGUGAGAGUGGCGGACGGGUGAGUAACGCGUGGGAACCUGCCCAGUGGUGGGGGGAUAACUGCGGGAAACUGCAGCUAAUACCGCAUGAGCCCGAGAGGGGAAAGAUUUAUCGCCAUUGGAGGGGCCCGCGUUCGAUUAGGUAGUUGGUGAGGUAACGGCUCACCAAGCCGACGAUCGAUAGCUGGUCUGAGAGGAUGAUCAGCCACACUGGGACUGAGAUACGGCCCAGACUCCUACGGGAGGCAGCAGUGGGGAAUAUUGGACAAUGGGGGCAACCCUGAUCCAGCAAUGCCGCGUGAGUGAUGAAGGCCUUCGGGUUGUAAAGCUCUUUUGGCGGGGACGAUGAUGACGGUACCCGCAGAAUAAGCCCCGGCUAACUUCGUG